rnacentral:rRNA from 1 species
AUUGAACGCUGGCGGCAGGCCUAACACAUGCAAGUCGAACGAGUGGCGGACGGGUGAGUAAUGUCUGGGAAACUGCCCGAUGGAGGGGGAUAACUACUGGAAACGGUAGCUAAUACCGCAUACCAUCGGAUGUGCCCAGAUGGGAUUAGCUUGUAGGUGAGGUAACGGCUCACCUAGGCGACGAUCCGUAGCUGGUCUUAGAGGAUGACCAGCCACACUGUAACUGAGACACGGCCCAGACUCCGACGGGAGGCAGGUGUGGGGAAUAUUGCACAAUGGGCGCAAGACUGAUGCAGCCAGGCCGCGUGUAUGAAGAAGGCCGUCGGGUUGUAAAGUACUUUCAGCGGGGAGGCGGUACCCGCAGAAGAAGCACCGGCUAACUCCGUGCCAGCAGCCGCGGUAAGAC